rnacentral:rRNA from 1 species
UGCGCAGGCGGAAUAAUUAGUCAGUGGUGAAAUCUCCCGGCUCAACCGGGAAACUGCCAUUGAUACUGUUAUUCUUGAGUAUAGUUGUAGUGGGCGGAAUAUAGCAUGUAGCGGUGAAAUGCUUAGAUAUGCUAUAGAACACCGAUCGCGAAGGCAGCUCACUAAACUAUAACUGACGCUCAGGCACGAAAGCGUAGGGAGCAAACAGGAUUAGAUACCCUGGUAGUCC